GACGUAGGGCGCGAGCGUUGUCCGGAUUUAUUGGGCGUAAAGAGCUCGUAGGCGGCCUGUCGCGUCGACUGUGAAAACCCGCAGCUCAACUGCGGGACUGCAGUCGAUACGGGCAGGCUAGAGUUCGGUAGGGGAGACUGGAAUUCCUGGUGUAGCGGUGAAAUGCGCAGAUAUCGGGAAGAACACCCGUGGCGAAGGCGGCUCUCUGGGACGGUACUGACGCUGAGACGCGAAAGCGUGGGGAGCGAACAGG
rnacentral:rRNA from 1 species